rnacentral:lncRNA from 1 species
AUUUGCGAAAAACACUCGGUAGAGAAAACAAAGAAGCAGAAGGAAAAAGAAAAACUGACAGAAAGUUGAGAGAAAGAGAGAUGAGAACCGAAAUUAUAAGUCCACCAAAUCGGGAUAACUCCACAGUCCCAUAUUUUCCUCCUAAAAUCACUCCAACACCCCAAUGCCAUAUUUUCCUCCUAAAAUCACUCCAACACUCCCCCAC